rnacentral:lncRNA from 1 species
UUACACUGGAGAUCAAUACCAUGCUCAUGGAAACCUUCUGCAUGGGCUCAAAGAACCAGGAGCCAGGAGAUUCCAGGUAGACUUCAAACAUUACUGUGUCCAAAAACUCAAACACUGAUGUACUUAUUUGCGAUUUGCAACAUUCUACAUGAAGGCUCUUUCUACAUGGUAGAAAGAUGAACCCCAGCUGACCCAGCUUACCUCCUCAAAGCUUAGCAAUAUUGGUGGAAAGAAUAUUGCUCUCUCCAAAUGUACUUAUAUUAAUCCUGGAGAAGAUACCUAUUAACCCUGUUUGUCUUAUGCCAACUGUAAUUCAAUUUCUGUGCCCAGGAGAAUGAAGCAUUGUCACUGGUCAUCUUGGAUCAGGAAUUCUAAGACAAUUGAAAUUCUUAAGAUCCACACCAGAACUUCUGAGUCAGAAUAGCUGUGAAAGAGUCCCAGGAGUAUGAAUUUUUAAGAGCUGCUAACGUGAUUCUUAUUGAAGGUGUGCACAGAUUGUGUUUUGAGAAACACCACAAGCUCCAGACCUGGCUUGAACAGAAUGUUGCCUAAGAAGAGUCAGGUUUGCACCCUGACAGUCUUGGUGACUUGGAAAAUGUUUGGAUGGACUUGAAUAGACUUGGGUGGUCAAAUCUGGACUGAAUUACAUUCUUAGAUGUAUAACCAGGCAACUCACAUGUCAGUCUUCUGUGUACAGUGUGUGGAGCCUGCUUCCUGUGUCAUCCACUACUUGUUACAUCAGAUCUCAGUUUUCUGCGUUCAAUCCUUUCAUGCCGUUUCAGAUCCCUAAUGGUGCAUUUCCAAAAAUGCUACACUGUGCCUGCCCACCUAAACCCUCAC